rnacentral:rRNA from 1 species
UACGUAGGGUGCGAGCGUUGUCCGGAAUUACUGGGCGUAAAGAGCUCGUAGGUGGUUUGUCGCGUUGUUCGUGAAAACUCACAGCUUAACUGUGGGCGUGCGGGCGAUACGGGCAGACUGGAGUACUGCAGGGGAGACUGGAAUUCCUGGUGUAGCGGUGGAAUGCGCAGAUAUCAGGAAGAACACCCGUGGCGAAGGCGGCUCUCUGGGACGUGACUGACGCUGAGACGCGAAAGCGUGGGGAGCGAACAGU